GAUGGUCUCAAUCUCCUGACCUCAUGAUCUGCCCGCCUCGGCCUCCCAAACUGCUGGGAUUACAGGUGUGAGCCACUGCACCCGGCCUAUCUCUUUUUUUUCUUAGAAGUACAACAGUCCUAUUGGAUUAGGGCCCCAGUCUGUGACCUUAUUUAUUUCCGUAAAGGCCUUAUCUGCAAAUACAGUUGUAUUGGGACUUAGAACAAUAUAUGGAUUUGGGUUAGGGGGGACACAAUUCAGUUCAUUAUAUUCUGCCAUCUGGCCCCCCUCAAAUUUAUGUCUCUUCACUUCAAAAAUACAUUUACCCCAUCUCAACAGUUCUGAACAUCUCAAUUCAUUCCGGCAUCAACUCCAAGUUCAGAGUCUCAUCUAAAUAGCAUCCAACUCAGGUAUAGGGGAGACUUGAGGUAUGAUCCAUCCUGAGGCAUAAUUCCUCCCAGCUGUGAUGGGAUGGUACAGGCACAGGAUAGACAUUACCAUUCCAAAAGGGAGAAACCAGAAGAAAGAGCUUCUAAGCAAGUCCAAAACCUAGCCAGGCAAAUCCCAUUACAUCUUAAGGCUAGAGAAUCAUCCUCUUUGGCUCCACGCUCUGCCCUCCAGGCCCUCUAGGGUAGUGGCUUUGUCCCUGAGGGCUGUGGUCAGAGGCAGCUGGGUUUGCUGUAACUAAUAGAGGUGGCCCUACCCUGUGAAAUCAAGGAGUAGGCAGGCCUGCCCUGUGCUUAUAUACUCUGUCUUGGUGGCAGUGGCAGCACUGGGGGUCUCUAAAUUGCCCUUGGGAUCAUCCUUCCUUUUCUUGAAGGACAAAGAAUGUUUGCAUCCAGGUAGCUCUGCUGUCAGAAGUCCAAAAGCCUUACUUUAUUUUAUUCCAUGUCCAUCCCCUUUAGUGCAAGAUGCCAGUGUCUCUGCUGGUAUAAUCCCAUCUCUUGUCCUUGCUUCUGCUGAGAUGGCUGAUUAAGUCUAGGUAAUCUCUUUAGAGGGGGAGUGUCCAGCCACACCCUUGAUUUUUCUCUCUGUAACACUCUUAUUUUUUGCAAUAUGGAUAGCCUGAGAAUUUUCUGACUCUAGUUCCUGAUUCCUUGUUGCUUAACAAUUUCUUCUUUAAUUCGUCUUUUUCCUUUUGCAUUUUAAAGUAACCAGUAAGGAGAAACCAGGUUGUAUCUUCAACACUUCCCUUACGAAUCUCCUCUGCUAAAUAUCCAAGGUUGUCACUCACAAAGCCACUUCUCCAUUUCUAUGUAGUUGUUACGGUGACCCCUAUCUCAUGAUCCAAAUCUGUAUUUAGGGUUCUCCAGAAAAACAAGCAGUAGGAUUUUUUUUAUAUGUAGGAGAUUUAUUAAAAGGAAUUGGCUCAUGCAAGUAUGGAUUCUGGUGAGUCCAAAAUAUGCAGCGUGGGCCAGCAGCCUGGAAACAUGGGAGAGUUGAUGGUGCAGAUGAAAGCCAAAGGCAGUCUCUUGCUCAGGAAAGUCAGGGUUUUUGUUCUGCCCAGGUUUUUCAGCUAAUUGGAUGGGGCCCAUCCACAUUAUGGAGGGAACUGUGCUUACUGAGAGCUCACCAACUUAAAUGUUAAUCUCCAAAGAUUCAUUCCGGAUUGACACAUAAAAUUAACCAUCACUGGAGGUAAUGAUAAUAGUCUAGAUAAGACAGGCCAGCACCAAUAGAGGUUUAAAAAAAUCUGAGUGAAAAUGGGUAUUACAGACCAGAAAACAUAAUUGGAUGUGGGAGUAAGUGCAAAAUUACAAGCCUUUGGUUUUGCAAAGAUGGUGGUACCAUUUUUCUAAAAUGCCCAGGGCAGAAGACACUGCUCUUACUGAGAAUCAUUGCUCAGAAAGUGAUUCUCCACCUCGGCUACACGUAGAAUCAUCUGGAAGAUUUUAGGAAUCUCUGUGUCCAAGCUAUGCUGCAUACCAGUUAAAUCUAAAUUCUUGGCGUAAGGCCAGGCGUGGUGGCUCAAGUGUAUAAUACCAGCAUUUUAGGAGGCCAAGGCAGGCGGAUCACCUGAGGUGAGGUGAGUUUGAGACCAGCUUGGCCAACAUGGUGAAGCCCCGUCUCUACUGAAAAUACAGACAUUAGCCGGGUGUGGUGGCACAUGGCUGUAAAUCCCAGCUACUUGGGAGGCUGAGGUAGGAGAAUUGCUUGAGCCCAGGAGGUGAAGGUUGCAGUGAGCUGAGAUUGCAUCAUUGCACUCCAGCCUGCUGGGCGACAGAGUGAGACUCCGUCUCAAAAAUAAAUAAAUAAAUGAAACAAAUAAUAAAUACAUUCCGGAUGUGAGACCGGGCAUCAGUAUUUAAAAACCUCUCUAGGUGAUUCCAGAGUGUAACCAGCCUUGAGAACCACUAUUGAAAGAAGCAGAGUCAUGAGAAGCCUUUUAAAAAAAUUCUGCCCAACAAAAUCCUGGAGUACAUCAGCCCAAGUUUCAUUUCUGUGCUGCUUUCUUUUCCUAGCUGGCCUUGGUCGCACGGGCACUCUGAUAGCCUGCUACAUCAUGAAGCAUUACAGGAUGACAGCAGCCGAGACCAUUGCGUGGGUCAGGAUCUGCAGACCUGGCUCGGUGAUUGGGCCUCAGCAGCAGUUUUUGGUGAUGUAAGUAGUAGCCUACGUCUGUAGUUCCCAGGGAACAUGUGGGGUUGGCAUCUGAUGGGGAGUGGAAUUUCCUUUAGUUUCCAAUAACAACAGAUAAUCUGGUAGGAAGAAGUUGUUCAUGUAUCUUUCUGGAAAGCUCUAUUUUGAUGUUAUUUAAAUGCUCUAGGAAGCAAACAAACCUCUGGCUGGAAGGGGACUAUUUUCGUCAGAAGUUAAAGGGGCAGGAGAAUGGACAACACAGAGCAGCCUUCUCCAAACUUCUCUCUGGCGUUGAUGACAUUUCCAUAAAUGGGGUCGAGAAUCAAGAUCAGCAAGAACCCGAACCGUACAGUGAUGAUGACGAAAUCAAUGGAGUGACACAAGGUGAUAGACUUCGGGCCUUGAAAAGCAGAAGACAAUCCAAAACGAACGCUAUUCCUCUCACAGUAAUUCUUCAAUCCAGUGUUCAGAGCUGUAAAACAUCUGAACCUAACAUUUCUGGCAGUGCAGGCAUUACUAAAAGAACCACCAGAUCUGCUUCAAGGAAAAGCAGUGUUAAAAGGUGAGAAAAGAAUCCUACUCUUCUGAAAAGUUGCAAGCGUUUGUUUUCCAGUUUAAUAUUUGGACCCUACCUCUGGAGAUUGACAUGAAAUUAGGAGAAAGUAGAGUCUCUGUGAUGGGAAAUUCAUCAAAUGUGUAUUCCUUGUUCAUUAUCUAAGAAAAUCUGGACCAUUUUAAUGUAGGCUUUUGUUUUGUUUUUUAGAAGUAAUUCUCAACACUGGAAGUAUGGUCUCUGGGUCAUGAUAUGGGAAAGUUUUAAGUUAAGAAUUUCCAAAGCUGGCUGUCAGGACUUGGAGGACAUUUUUCUAGGUGUAUAUCAGAUACAGCUUCAUUGCUGGACGAUUAGCUGCAAAUGAAUGUGAUGGUAGAAAUGAGAUAACCAGAGAGUCUGAAGAUCCUUCUCUACCUAGUGACUCUUUGUCCUCUUGGCCACAGCCCACACCCGAGGCACUAGUUCUUUCACUGUCGUCACUGUCUUCAGUGAGUGUAGGCAGAAUUUCACAAGGAAACCAAUGUGUUCUGUGGCCACGUCAGUGACUCUGUUGUCUUUGGAUAUUUCUCAUGAAGUGGACAUGUCAUUUUUAAAGUAUUCUGAAAACAGAUCCCAUCUGAAGAGAGAAUAAAUAGCCCAGGAGUGGAAGUGGGGAUAGAUGGCUCAGGAGUAGAAGGGGGCACCUUUUCAUCAUUGCCUGGUGUUGGCAGCCCAUGCAGUCCUGUUUUUGUCCUCCUGGUAAAAACGAUCUCUUCUAAUAGACAUGAGCGACCUGAAGAUAAUCAGAACCAGACUUUAAAAUGUCCUGCACGUGUACCCUGCUUCUUUUCAGCUUCCCUGCCAUGUAUAUCCGAGGCUUUGGGCCUAGGGGCCUUAUCAGUGUGAAAUUAGUCCCCAGUGCAAAGCAGCCAGUCUCCCAAGAGACCUUGGCAGAGCUGGGAGUUCUGUGUGCUUUGCCUUUUGAAGACUCAUUCAGCUCUGCCAUGUCUCCUCUACACUGUUUGUUUUGUACAACCUUACUGCACACUUAACACUCGCAUGGGGACGCAGCAGUGCCCCGGCAUAAGGAUUGGAGGACUGUCAGGCACUGACUCAUGAUUCCAGGAUUUAAAAUUUUUCAUUAGAAAUGUACCAAAUAUUCCUAUUUCUUUACUGUUUGAUUCUUCUUGAGAAGAAUAUUAGAGAAAUACUGACCAAAGGUCAAAGAUUUAGGUACAUUGGAACAAUAGCGGAGUGUUAUUUAUAACAGUGAGAAACAGGAAAUGGGCUCAAGAUUGUUACAUUAUGCCAAAUGAAUUGGGAGUCAUACAGUUUAGUACACGAAGCAGUAAGUGAAAAGAGCCAUGCAUAACAAUUCUGAAGUAUGGGCCGGGUGCGGUGGCUCGCGCCUGUAAUCCCAGCACUUUGGGAGGCG
rnacentral:lncRNA from 1 species